rnacentral:rRNA from 1 species
GACGUAGGAGGCAAGCGUUAUCCGGAAUGACUGGGCGUAAAGGGCGUCUAGGUGGCGUCUCAAGCGGGGUGUGAAAGCUCUCGGCUCAACUGAGAGAGUGCGCUCCGAACUGGGAAGCUAGAGGGUUGGCGACGGCGGUGGAAUACCCGGUGGAGUGGUGAAAUGCGUAGAGAUCGGGUGGAACACCAGUGGCGCAAGCGGCCGCCGAGCCGAUGCCUGACACUGACGCGCGAGAGCGUGGGGAGCCAACGGG